rnacentral:ribozyme from 12 species
UUUUCUUUUUCUUUUUCCUUUUUUUUUUCUUUUCUUUUUCACUAAAUCGGAAAAUAAAAAAAUAAAAAAUAAAAUGCAGACAGAUUUAAGACUGUAUUAA